GAUGAACGCUAGCUACAGGCUUAACACAUGCAAGUCGAGGGACCGGCGCACGGGUGAUUAACACGUAUCCAACCUGCCCUUUACUCUGGGAUAGCCUUUCGACAGCAAGAUCAAUACCCCAUAUAAAGGAUGGGUAUGCGUUCCAUUAGGUUGUUGGUGAGGUAACGGCCCACCAAGCCUUCGAUGGAUAGUGGUUCUGAGAGGAAGGUCCACCGGAAUGGAGCUGAGGCACGGUCCAAACUCCUACGGGAGGCAGCAGUGUGGAGUAUUGGGGAAUGAACGUUAGCCUGGACCAGCCAAGUAGCGUGAGGGAUGAAGGGUUAUGGGUCGUAAACUUCUUUUAUAUAAGAAUAUGUAUUAUAUGAAUAAGGAUCGGCUAACUCCGUGCCAGCAGCCGCGGUAAUAC
rnacentral:rRNA from 1 species